rnacentral:rRNA from 1 species
GGGGACAACCCGCCGAAAGGCGGGCUAAACCCGCGUACAUGCCACCGGGGCAUCCCGGAGGCAGGAAAGGCUUCGGCCGGACAGGGAUGGGCAUGCGGCGCAUUAGGCAGUAGGCGGGGUAACGGCCCACCUAACCGACGAUGCGUAGGGGUUCUGAGAGGAAGGUCCCCCACACUGGUACUGAGACACGGACCAGACUCCUACGGGAGGCAGCAGUGAGGAAUAUUGGUCAAUGGUCGGGAGACUGAACCAGCCAAGCCGCGUGAGGGAUGAAGGUACAGAGUAUCGUAAACCUCUUUUGUCAGGGAACAAAGGCGGGGACGUGUCCCCGGAUGAGUGUACCUGAAGAAAAAGCAUCGGCUAACUCCGUGCCAGCAGCCGCGGUAAUACGGAGGAUGCGAGCGUUAUCCGGAUUUAUUGGGUUUAAAGGGUGCGCAGGCGGUCUGUUAAGUCAGCGGUCAAAGCCCGGGGCUCAACCCCGGCCCGCCGUUGAAACUGGCAGUCUCGAGUUGGAGAGAAGUAUGCGGAAUGCGCGGUGUAGCGGUGAAAUGCAUAGAUAUCGCGCAGAACUCCGAUUGCGAAGGCAGCAUGCCGGCUCCACACUGACGCUGAGGCACGAAAGCGUGGGUAUCGAACAGGAUUAGAUACCCUGGUAGUCCACGCAGUAAACG